rnacentral:rRNA from 1 species
GACGAACGCUGGCGGCGUGCCUAAUACAUGCAAGUUGAGCGCUGAAGGUUGGUACUUGUACCAACUGGAUGAGCAGCGCACGGGUGAGUAACGCGUGGGGAAUCUGCCUUUGAGCGGGGGACAACAUUUGGAAACGAAUGCCAAUACCGCAUAAAAACUUUAAACACAAGUUUUAAGUUUGAAAGAUGCAAUUGCAUCACUCAAAGAUGAUCCCGCGUUGUAUUAGCUAGUUGGUGAGGUAAAGGCUCACCAAGGCGAUGAUACAUAGCCGACCUGAGAGGGUGAUCGGCCACAUUGGGACUGAGACACGGCCCAAACUCCUACGGGAGGCAGCAGUAGGGAAUCUUCGGCAAUGGACGAAAGUCUGACCGAGCAACGCCGCGUGAGUGAAGAAGGUUUUCGGAUCGGAAAACUCUGUUGGUAGAGAAGAACGUUGGUGAGAGUGGAAAGCUCAUCAAGUGACGGUAACUACCCAGAAAGGGACGGCUAACUACGUG